UGGGGCUGGAAACAGCACUGGGAGGGGCUGAGCAGAAGCCACAGCGGGGCAGAACAAAGGCCUGGAGACUGGAGCGAGCUGCGUUCUUGGGGGUGGGGGGUGGGGCGGCAGCUGGAGAGUGGGGGCUUCCCCAGCGGGAGAGGGAGGACGAUUCUGGAUGGCUUCCCUCCUUGUGGACAGAGUGAGUCUCUGCUAUGAGAAAGUAGAGACGGGGUUUCACCGUCUUAGCCAGGAUGGUCUCGAUCUCCUGACCUCGUGAUCCGCCCGCCUCGGCCUCCCAAAGUGCUAGGACUAACAGGCGUGAGCCACCGCACCCGGCCAAGCUGGAUCUUAAGCUUGCUUACCGGUGACUUGUUGACCUCAUCUUGGCUCAAAGAAGACACGGCCCCAGGUGAGUGCCUGGAGGUUAUUUCCCAUGUGAUGCCUGUUCCAGGGCAGGAAUGUUAGCUCUGUGCUGGCCACCAGAGAAGAAACUGGUGGCCUGGUGACCGCCAGGCCUCUGCCUGCAAGGCUAAAGACCUCUGACAGAUAUUAGGGGGCAGGAUGUGAGUUCAGAUGGAAGCAGUCGGAUCUUCCUGACCCUGCCUUACCUGGCAGUAUCCACCUGCAGCCUCUGCACCUCCUGCCCAGCUGCCAACAACACCUGUGAGCCUGACGGCGUGCCCCACCCCCUCCCCAGGUGGGCGGUCUACGGCAGGCCCCGCCCACCAGCUCUGGCGCAUGCGGCAUGGCCUCAGCGUCUCCCUUCCUGAGCGGACGGCCCACCCCGGAAUUAGCCUCUUCUCUCCCAGACCCGUGUUGGAGCCACACUGCCCGGGACAGCCCUGAAGCAGCCACGUCCCCACCUUUCAGGAGUCGGCCAAGAGCACGGUGGCUGCAGAAGGCCCUGGCUGAUGGAGAUAACAUUUGACAAACAGGUGCUUUUCCAAUUAUGGAUAACAACAGAAAAGCAGUCAUUGGUUUCUAAAAGGUCAUCAAGAUAUAAAGCCCGUUUGGGAAGGGAAUGACUUACGCAGUGGGCUUGUAUAAAUCUGGAGAAGUUUUAUGCACAAGUCGGACAAGAAAUGUGUUCUACAUACGGCUCGGGAGCCAGCAAGUGCGUAUGAAGCCCCUUCACAUGGCUAGUGGCAUCCUAAGGACCCGGCGACAAUUAGUCAUGGCGUCAUCGAACACCAGGCUGGAGGAGGUCUUGGAUGCCACAGCUCCUUUUGAAUUUCAAAGACGUUCAAAUCCCCAUCUGGCUGUUACACUUUUAGGCUAUUGAGAGUGAAAACAAGCACUGACAUGAACACCCAACCAGCUGCCGGUGACAUCGUCCCCUUCUGAGAUCUGAGGACAUGGAUACCCAACCACCUGCCGGUGACAUCGUCUCCUUCUGAGAUCUGAGGACAUGAACACCCAACCACCUGCCGGUGAUAUCGUCCCCUUCUGAGAUCUGAGGACGUGGAUAUCCAACCACCUGCCGGUGACAUUGUCUCCUUCUGAGAUCUGAGGACAUGGACACCAAACCACCUGCCGGUGACAUUGUCUCCUUCUGAGAUCUGAGGACAUGAACACCAAACCACCUGCCAGUGACAUCGUCCCCUUCUGAGAUCUGAGGACAUGGAUACCCAACCACCUGCCGGUGACAUCGUCUCCUUCUGAGAUCUGAGGACAUGGACACCCAACCACCUGCCGGUGACAUCGUCUCCUUCUGAGAUCUGAGGACAUGAACACCCAACCACCUGCCGGUGAUAUCGUCCCCUUCUGAGAUCUGAGGACGUGGAUAUCCAACCACCUGCCGGUGACAUUGUCUCCUUCUGAGAUCUGAGGACAUGGACACCAAACCACCUGCCGGUGACAUUGUCUCCUUCUGAGAUCUGAGGACAUGAACACCAAACCACCUGCCAGUGACAUCGUCCCCUUCUGAGAUCUGAGGACAUGGAUACCCAACCACCUGCCGGUGACAUCAUCUUCUUCUGAGAUCUGAGGACAUGGACACCCAACCACCUGCCGGUGACAUCGUCUCCUUCUGAGAUCUGAGGACAUGGACACCAAACCACCUGCCGGUGACAUCGUCUCCUUCUGAGAUCUGAGGACAUGAACACCCAACCACCUGCCGGUGAUAUCGUCCCCUUCUGAGAUCUGAGGACGUGGAUAUCCAACCACCUGCCGGUGACAUUGUCUCCUUCUGAGAUCUGAGGACAUGGACACCAAACCACCUGCUGGUGACAUUGUCUCCUUCUGAGAUCUGAGGACAUGAACACCAAACCACCUGCCAGUGACAUCGUCCCCUUCUGAGAUCUGAGGACAUGGAUACCCAACCACCUGCCGGUGACAUCAUCUUCUUCUGAGAUCUGAGGACAUGGACACCCAACCACCUGCCGGUGACAUCGUCUCCUUCUGAGAUCUGAGGACAUGGACACCAAACCACCUGCCGGUGACAUCGUCUCCUUCUGAGAUCUGAGGACAUGAACACCCAACCACCUGCCGGUGACAUCGUCCCCUUCUGAGAUCUGAGGACAUUGAUACCCAGCCACCUGCCGGUGACAUCGUCUCCUUCUGAGAUCUGAGGAUAUGGACACCAAACCACCUGCCGGUGACAUCGUCUCCUUCUGAGAUCUGAGGACAUGAACACCCAACCACCUGCCGGUGACAUCGUCCCCUUCUGAGAUCUGAGGACAUGGAUACCCAACCACCUGCCGGUGACAUCGUCUCCUUCUGAGAUCUGAGGACAUGGACACCCAACCUGCUGCUGGUGACAUCGUUCCCUUCUGAGAUCUGAGGACAUGGACACCAAACCACCUGCCAGUGACAUCGUCUCCUUCUGAGAUCUGAGGACAUGGACACCAAACCUGCUGCCGGUGACAUCGUCCCCUUCUGAGAUCUGAGGACAUGGACACCCAACCACCUGCCGGUGACAUCGUCUCCUUCUGAGGUCUGAGGACAGACACUCACAUGGACACCUAAACACCUGCCGAUGAUAUUGUCUCCUUCUGAAAUCUGAGGACAUGGACACCCAACCAGCUGCUGGUGACAUCAUCUCCUUCUGAGAUCUGAGGACAGACACUCACAUAGACGCCCAAUCAGCUGCUGGUGACAUUGUCUCCUUCUGAAAUCUGAGGGUUGGAACACAUUGGCCUGGCUCAGUGUUUCUCCAUGUGGUUUUGAGACCACCUGAGUUGGAACCGAUAUGGGUUCCCAGCCUCACGCCUGGAGAGCUGGAUUUUGCGAGUGUGAGGUUAGGUCCAGCAUCUGCAUGUGUAACGAGCUCCCAGGUGUUUCGUAGAUGCAUUAGGGCUUGAGAAGCUCCUUUCUAGCACCAUCUUCCUUUUUGCGCAUGAGGGAGUUCAGGUCCAGAGAAAUAAAGCAGCAAGGUUAGUGGCACAGCUGGCGCCCCCUGCUUUCUAGGAAUUUAGAAUAUUAUUGAAGAGAGAGGUAUUAGAACCUGUGAAGUCAAUACAGAGACCUCCAGGCGAGUGGCAUCCUCACUGAAACCACUGACAAGUAUGCUGAAUAGAAAGUGUCAUUUCUCCUGGAAGACCCUCAGUGACCCAGCUGGAGGGUCUCUCCUACUCAUCAGCUGUCCCUCACUCUGCCAUUUCAG
rnacentral:lncRNA from 1 species